AUUGAACGCUGGCGGCAUGCUUUACACAUGCAAGUCGAACGGUAACAGGCCGCAAGGUGCUGACGAGUGGCGAACGGGUGAGUAAUGCAUCGGAACGUGCCCAGUCGUGGGGGAUAACGCAGCGAAAGCUGCGCUAAUACCGCAUACGAUCUAUGGAUGAAAGCGGGGGACCGUAUGGCCUCGCGCGAUUGGAGCGGCCGAUGUCAGAUUAGGGUAGUUGGUGGGGGUAAAAGGCUCACCAAGCCAACGAUCUGUAGCUGGUCUGAGAGGACGACCAGCCACACUGGGACUGAGACACGGCCCAGACUCCUACGGGAGGCAGCAGUGGGGAAUUUUGGACAAUGGGCGCAAGCCUGAUCCAGCAAUGCGCGUGCAGGAUGAAGGCCUUCGGGUUGUAACUAGCUUUG
rnacentral:rRNA from 1 species